AAGGAUGAGAUGCCUUUCAUUGGGGUCACUUUGGGGAGAGGACUCCUGGCUUAUCUGGAGGAUCCAGAGAGAUCGUGACUGGACCAGUAUAUCCAAUGAAAAUGAGAGCUGCUUGUCAAUGAACUACUAUAAUGAAUGAAGAUACAGUAACAAAAAUCAGAUGGAGGAGAUUUUUCUUUUCCUUUUUUAAAACUACCAAUAAUGCUGAACCCUCCAACUACUCCAUCUAACCAAUCUGGAAAAGAUUUGGCAGAGGGGAGAAGGUUCGAAUGUUGUAUUCUGAUCACAGCUAUUUGGCAUCUGGGAUAGGUCUGUGAGAUGAUGAACAGCGAGUCCUAACUCUGACAUGCAUUUUGCCAUAAGGAUAUUGUCUGUUCUGCUGUAACGUGAUAGACAGAGAAGAUCUCCAGCUCCCUUGAAUCUCAUAUUCUAGUAAGAUACACUUCAAGUUUCAAGCACUGAAACUGAAACGUACUGAGAAGGACUUUACAUACAGAUUCUUAAGUACCACCUGAGAACUCCUCAGACCGGAAAGAAGUUGAGCAAAGGGUAGAGUAUCUGCCUAUAAUGGUGAACACUGAACAACUGGCCUGAUUUCAGAAAAAAAAAAAAUUAUGUGCAUCUGAAUGCAGUGUUUCUGUGGGCGCACUACACAGAGCGGGGCAUGUGUGCAGCCUGGCCAUAUGUUUGCAAUAGGAUGAAGGACUGAGGCCAAGGAGAGAGGUUAGAGAUGAGAGGACGCAUUUUCUCCAACAGAAGAGGGAGCACUGAAUUUGAGCAUGAUGCAGAGACAAAGGAGGGCAAACUAGCUGAAGAACGAGGUGCCAAAAAACCUGCAAGAAGAGCAGGGUCAGUGUUGUGGGAAUCAAAUUGAGUGCAAGCAAAGAGGUCAAGCAAAAGUUAUGAAAAAAGGAGACUAAGACUAUAAACUUCCAAUCACAAUGCGACGGAAGUUUCAACAAGUAACAGCUCACAUCAUUGCUGUAGAAAAGACAGUCAGAUGACCCUGGAUUCAAAUUUUCUGGUAUUGUGUAGAAAAAAGAUGAAGAAAAUGAUCACUUCUCCAUAAUAUAUGUGGCCCCCUGUAUCAUCUUGAUAGGGCUUCAUAAAAACCAGUGUGUAAAAAUAUAUGAAUGAAUUUUAAAAUUAUUAAUACUGUUAACUUCUAACCCUCUGUCUCAAGAAAUCAAAGGCCAGGAGUUACUGUGUUUAGUCUGAGAUCACAACACAAACCACUGGUAUAGUCCAUAAAAAUCAGAUGUCAUUGGCAUUUGACAAAAUAAAAAACCAAAAUUCUAGUGAAUGAUAAUAAGUGCCAAGCAGCAGGAGAAUUAAAAAUGUAUAUAUUAUUUUGGUAAAGAGAACAAAUACCAUGCAUCUGAGCACACGAGGAAACAUCAGAGAAGACUGACAUUAAAGUCGUUUUAUUUGAAACGCUAAGAGUCUUAGUGCAGAAGUGAUAGGUAGAGUAAUUUUUUCCUUAUUAUAGAAUAAAUGUAAAGGUCAGAUGCAACAAUAUUGCCUGUGGUUUUAAAAAUGGGGGAAUAACAUUCUAAGGAAUCAAAAGUUUUCUUAAAAGGGUAAUCUAUUUAGAGAAGAUAAGUGGCUGUGUGGUAAAACUGACUUCAAAAGUGAGAGAAAAUGUGUAAAACAUCUUAAAGGCUGAGAAGUAAAAAAAGUGGCAAGAUGUAAGUUUUCAAACAAAUGUAGAAUUAAUCUUUACCUUUCUGUCUCCAAGGGACAGAGCUGUGAAUAAAGCAAGAAAUGUAGAGGGACAUGUGUUUUGGUAUAAUUUUAAGAAAAAACAAAUCUAAGGAUAGCUAGGAUCUAAUGGGUAGCUUCCAGGAGGCAUUAAAUUCUCCACCCUUCGUGUGUUCUCGCAGAGGUGAGGGACUACUUCACCUUGUUUUUCUGUGGAUUCUGAUGUACCAAAUGAGUUGGAAUAAGAUAACAUGUAAGAGAGAUACUUUUCAAUUCUGAGUUAUAAGAAGUACUUAGGGGGGAAAAAAGGACCCAACAUAUAUGGUAUGAGGAAAUGAACAGAGUUUCAUUUUAGG